rnacentral:rRNA from 1 species
UUGAACGCUGGCGGAAUGCUUUACACAUGCAAGUCGAGCGGCAGCGCGGGGGCAACCCUGGCGGCGAGCGGCGAACGGGUGAGUAAUACAUCGGAACGUACCCAGUUGUGGGGGAUAGCCCGGCGAAAGCUGGAUUAAUACCGCAUAAGUCCUGAGGGAGAAAGCGGGGGACCGUAAGGCCUCGCGCGAUUGGAGCGGCCGAUGUUCGAUUAGCUAGUUGGUGGGGUAAAGGCCCACCAAGGCGACGAUCCGUAGCGGGUCUGAGAGGACGACCCGCCACACUGGAACUGAGACACGGUCCAGACUCCUACGGGAGGCAGCAGUGGGGAAUUUUGGACAAUGGGGGCAACCCUGAUCCAGCCAUUCCGCGUGAGUGAAGAAGGCCUUCGGGUUGUAAAGCUCUUUCAGCAGGAGCGAAACGGUCGUUUUUAAUACAGACGGCUAAUGACGGUACCUGCAGAAGAAGCACCGGCUAACUACGU